AAAAUUUUACAGGAAUUUAAAGAGGGAAAGAUGAUUUCCCGAGAGAUCUGCCAUGGUAGCAGCACUGGGAAGGCAAAGAGGCCACUGCACUGGUAGAGAACUGAGAGGAAAGCCAAAAUGGUGCAGAGAAGAACACGAUUCUGGAGGAUGCCAGUGGUGGGGAUAGCGGAUUUCCCACCCUGGCUAAUCAGGAAGUCCAGGUACAGGAACCAAUAAAGAAACACACUGCAACUCCAGUGACAUGAAUACCUGGUGCUAUAAACCACAGAGACCUGUACAAGGCCGUGAUCUCUCUCAGGACUGCUAUUAGAUGAACUCAGAAAGAAGAAAAAUUUUGUUUCCACCUGUAUUAAUUGGGUUAGACUACCAUAACAGAAUAUCACAGACUGGAUGCUUUAGAAUAGACGCACUUAUCAUCUCACAGUCCUGGAGGCUGGAAGUCCAUGGUCAGUA
rnacentral:lncRNA from 1 species